UACGUAGGGACCAAGCGUUGUUCGGAUUUACUGGGCGUAAAGCGUGCGUAGGCGGUUCGUCAAGUCUGAUGUGAAAGCCCCGGGCUCAACCUGGGAACUGCAUUGGAAACUAGCGAGCUUGAGUGUGGCAGAGGGGGGUGGAAUUCCACGUGUAGCAGUGGAAUGCGUAGAGAUGUGGAGGAACACCGAUGGCGAAGGCAGCCCCCUGGGCUAACACUGACGCUCAGGCACGAAAGCGUGGGGAGCAAACAGG
rnacentral:rRNA from 1 species